AACUGCAGUCGACGAGGGAGCAAUCCCUAGUGGCGAACGGCGGAGUAAUACAUGAACAACGUGCCCUAAAGUCCGGGACAAACGCAGAAAUGCCAUAAAUACCGGAUGUGGUCCAGACCUGGCAUCAGGAUUGGAUUAAAUGGUUUUUCGCUUUAGGAGCGGUUCAUGGCCUAUCAGGUAGUUGGUGGGGUAACAGCCUACCAAGCCGACGACAGGUAGCGGGUCUGAGAGGAUGAUCCGCUCGAGUGGGACUGAGACACGGCCCACACACCUACGGGUGGCAGCAGUUGGGAAUCUUGCACAAUGGGGGAAACCCUGAUGCAGCGACGCCGCGUGGAGGAUGACGGAUCUAGGUCUGUAAACUCCUUUUUCAUGGAAAGACUUAGGACGGUACCAUGAGAAUAAGGACCGGCUAACUACGUGCCAGCAGCCGCGGUAAGACGUAGGGUCCAAGCGUUGUCCGGAUUUACUGGGCGUAAAGAGCGCGUAGGCGGUCUGUUAAGUGUGAAGUGAAAUCUCCAGGGCUCAACCCGGAAACUGCUUCGCAUACUGGCAGACUUGAGGAAUGCAGAGGUUUGUGGAAUUCCCGGUGUAACGGUGAAAUGUGUUGAUAUCGGGAGGAACACCCAUGGCGAAGGCAGCAAACUGGGCAUUAUCUGACGCUGAGGCGCGAAAGCGUGGGUAGCAAACAGGAUUAGAUACCCUGGUAGUCCACGCCCUAAACGAUGGAUACUAGGCGUAAGAGGUAUCGACCCCUCUUGUGCCGCAGCUAACGCAUUAAGUAUCCCGCCUGGGGAGUACGGCCGCAAGGUUGAAACUCAAAUGAAUUGACGGGGAACCCGCACAAGCGGUGGAGCAUGUGGGAUUAAUUCGAUACUAACCGAAAAACCUUACCCCAGGUUUGAACAUCGAUUGAAAGCCCCUAGAGAUAGGGCCCCUCCCCCACAAGGGGGACAUGAAAACACUUGUUGCAUGGCUGUCGUCACCUCGUGCC
rnacentral:rRNA from 1 species